GAGUUUGAUCAUGGCUCAGAGCGGACGCUGGCGGCAGGCUUAACACAUGCAAGUCGAGCGGGCGUAGCAAUACGUCAGCGGCAGACGGGUGAGUAACACGUGGGAACGUACCUUUGGUUCGGAACAACUGAGGGGAAACUUCAGCUAAUACCGGAUAAGCCCUAACGGGGAAGAUUAUCGCCGAAAGAUCGGCCCGCGUCUGAUUAGCUAGUUGGUGAGGUAAUGGCUCACCAAGGCGGCGAUCAGUAGCUGGUCUGAGAGGAUGAUCAGCCACACUGGGACUGAGACACGGCCCAGACUCCUACGGGAGGCAGCAGUGGGGAAUAUUGGACAAUGGGGGCAACCCUGAUCCAGCCAUGCCGCGUGAGUGAUGAAGGCCCUAGGGUUGUAAAGCUCUUUGUGCGGGAAGAUAAUGACGGUACCGCAAGAAUAAGCCCCGACUAACUUCGUGCCAGCCGCCGCCGU
rnacentral:rRNA from 1 species